rnacentral:rRNA from 1 species
UUUUAAGAGAGUUUGAUUCUAGCUCAGGAUGAACGCUGGCGGCGUGGAUAAGGCAUGCAAGUCGAACGGGACAUACUUUGUUCAAGAUGCGAUUACAUCAAGUCAAGAACGUUGUAUGUCUAGUGGCAGACGAGUUAGGAACACGUAGGUACCUACCCCAAAAACGGGGAUAACCUCGCGAAAGCGGGGCUAAUACCCGAUGGUCCCGAAAGGGUAAAGGAGCAAUCCGUUUUGGGAAGGGCCUGCGGCCUAUCAGCUUGUUGGUGAGGUAAUGGCUCACCAAGGCUAUGACGGGUAGGGGGCGUGAGAGCGCGUUCCCCAACGUGGGCACUGAGACACGGGCCCAACACCUACGGGUGGCAGCAGUCGAGAAUAUUCGACAAUGGGCGAAAGCCUGAUCGAGCGACGCCGCGUGCGGGAUGAAGGCCUUCGGGUUGUAAACCGCUUUUCUCCGGGAAGAACCAGCAAUGGUGACGGUACCGGAGGAAUAAGGGGGUGCUAAUUCUGUGCCAGCAGCCGCGGUAAAACAGAACCCCCGAGCGUUAUCCGGAUUUAUUGGGCGUAAAGGGUCCGUAGCCGGUUUCGUAAGUCUUUGGUUAAAUACCAGAAGCUCAACUUUUGGGAUGCCAAGGAAACUGCGGGACUUGAGGGUGUUAGGGGCUGAUAGAACGCAUGGUGGAGGGGUGAAAUCCGUUGAUAUCAUGCGGAAUACCAAAAGCGAAGGCAUUCAGCUGGGGCAACCCUGACGGUGAGGGACGAAAGCGUGGGGAGCAAAAAGGAUUAGAUACCCUUGUAGUCCACGCUGUAAACUAUGGAUGCUAGCUAUGUGAAGUGUCGACCCUUCACGUGGCGAAGCUAACGCGUUAAGCAUCCCGCCUGGGAAGUACGGUCGCAAGACUAAAACUCAAAGAAAUAGACGGGGACCCACACAAGCGGUGGAUCAUGUGGCUCAAUUCGUCAACAAGCGAGGAACCUUACCAGGGCUUGAAAUGCCAAUGAACCCUCAUGGAAACAUGGGGCUUCCCACAAGGACAUUGGCACAGGUGCUGCACGGCCGUCGUCAGCAUGUAUCUUGAGACGCUCCGUUCAAUCGGGUAACAUGCGCAACCCUCAUCUUGUGUUUUACGUGUCACAAGAAACUGCCUGGGACAACCAGGAGGAAGGUGAGGAUGACGCCAGGUCAGCGUGGCCCUCUGACGCCCUGGGCUGCACACAUGAUACAAUGGCAUGGACAACGGGACGCAACGUCGUAAGGCCGAGCAAAUCCCUAAAACCAUGCCCCAGUUCGGAUUGAGGUCUGAAACCCGACCUCAUGAAGCCGGAAUCGCUAGUAAUCGCCAAUCAGCCACGUGGCGAUGAAUACGUUCCUGGGUCUUGUACUCACAAUAAAAGCGCUCGGCAGCGCAACAUUCUAUGUGGUUCAAAUCCACACUUCU